GAGUUUGAUCAUGGCUCAGAUUGAACGCUGGCGGCAGGCCUAACACAUGCAAGUCGAACGGUAACAGGAUUAGCUUGCUAAUCGCUGACGAGUGGCGGACGGGUGAGUAAUGCUUGGGAACUCGCCUUUGCGAGGGGGAUAACAGUUGGAAACGACUGCUAAUACCGCAUAAUGUCUACGGACCAAACGGGGCUUCGGCUCCGGCGCAAAGAGAGGCCCAAGUGAGAUUAGCUAGUUGGUAAGGUAAAGGCUUACCAAGGCAACGAUCUCUAGCUGUUCUGAGAGGAAGAUCAGCCACACUGGAACUGAGACACGGUCCAGACUCCUACGGGAGGCAGCAGUGGGGGAAUAUUGCACAAU
rnacentral:rRNA from 1 species